rnacentral:rRNA from 1 species
GACGAACGCUGGCGGCGUGCUUAACACAUGCAAGUCGAACGGAAAGGCCCUGCUUUUGUGGGGUGCUCGAGUGGCGAACGGGUGAGUAACACGUGAGUAACCUGCCCUUGACUUUGGGAUAACUUCAGGAAACUGGGGCUAAUACCGGAUAGGAGCUCCUGCUGCAUGGUGGGGGUUGGAAAGUUUCGGCGGGUGGGGAUGGACUCGCGGCUUAUCAGCUUGUUGGUGGGGUAGUGGCUUACCAAGGCUUUGACGGGUAGACGGCCUGAGAGGGUGGCCGGCCACAUUGGGACUGAGAUACGGCCCAGACUCCUACGGGGGGCCGCAGUGGGGAAUAUUGCCCAAUGGGCGGAAGCCUGAUGUAGCAACGCCGCGUGCGGGAUGACGGCCUUCGGGUUGGAAACCGCUUUCGCCUGUGACGAAGCGUGAGUGACGGUAAUGGGUAAAGAAGCACCGGCUAACUACGUG